rnacentral:lncRNA from 1 species
CAAUUGCAAAUUAAAGGUUGGUUUUAUAAUAAAAAUCGUUUUGUGCAUACCAAAUUAGAAAAGAUUAUAAGUAAAUUAAGAUUUUCAAAAUUUGACUAGUAUUAUAUUACGUACAUCAAUAUAAUAUAAAUUUGUUAUAUUUAUAUAUGUUAUUCUGUAACUAAUGCUUUCAAAAAUUUUAUACUUGUAUGUUUGAACAACUUUUUUUCGCUUUCUAUUUAUAUACGAUAUUAUUUAUGUUUACAUAAAUUUUCAUAUGUACCCAAAUUAAGUAUUAAAUACACACACUCUGGUAAGACACAUUUCUAGUAUCAGACAAUGAUAUUAUAUUGAAUGUAAUGCUUCAAUGAAUUUUAUUACUAUAUACUAAAAUACUCAACGAUCUUCAUUAAAAAAAAAAAAAAGAAAUUGCAUGAUUAGAAUGAUUAAAGUUCAUUUAAUGACGAGUUUCAUCAUUGACUGUGUCGAAACAGAACAGCAAUCCACAAUACACUCAACACGAGAGGCGCACACAAGCAUGCAUGAAUCUUCCACCAUUAAACCUGAAAUCAUAAAAUGAAAGAAACAAGGUGAGUGUUGUUUUACGGUCUGAAAGCCGAUUCGAAAUAAUAAUAAUAAUAGACCUUUGUUAAUAGUUACUACUAGUGGUCACUGCCUUGUCCAUCUUCCUUCUCUGUAUUAUCGUCCUCUUCCAAGCCGCUGUCAUCUGACCAAACCCCAGCAACCAUGGGAAAAAUCACCUACUUGUUUUAGGAGCAGGAGCAGGAGCAGGAGGAGGAAAUUAAGUUAGGGAUUUGGAGUGAUAGGGAAAAAGCUGAUUGUUGAGAAAUAUAUAUACCUUUUGUAUGGUUGUGUUAAGGUCGCCCUUCCAAGCCCAACUUGCUUCACUCCGCCGCUGCACUUCGUGUAAUUUGGGUGUACUUAAAUUUCCUUCAGAGAAAAUCUUCAUAUCGGGGCAAUCAUCCACCACUAAUCUUUCCAAAGAUGGGAACUUGAAAGCACAAUUGCCAGAGCAGAAGCUUGUCAACGCGAGAGAUAGUUCUAAAGAUUGUUUUGAUAAGUUUUCAGAAAACAUGUGACGAAUCGUAGUAAAAAAUUUAUAUAUAAUAAUUGAAUGAGAUCCAUGGUUCACAAUUGCAAAUUAAAGGUUGGUUUUAUAAUAAAAAUCGUUUUGUACAUACCAAAUUAGAAAAGAUAAUAAGUAAAUUAAGAUUUUCAAAAUUUGACUAGUAUUAGAUUACGUACAUCAAUAUAAUAUAAAUUUCUUAUAUAUAUAUUUUACUCUGUAACCAAUGCUUUCAAAAACUUUGUACUUGUAUGUUUGAACAACUUUUUUCGCUUUCUAUUUAUAUACGAUCUCAUUUAUGUUUAUAUAAAUUUUCAUAUGUACCCAAAUUAAGCAUUAAAUAAACACACUUUGGUAAGACACAUUAAUUUCUAGUAUCAGACAAUGAUAUUAUAUUGAAUGUAAUGCUUCAAUGAAUUUUAUUACUAUAUACUAAAAUACUCAACGAUCUUCAUUAAAAUUAAAAAAAAAAAAGAAAUUGCAUGAUUAGAAUGAUUAAAGUUCAUUUAAUGACAAGUUUCAUCAUUGACUGUGUCGAAACACAACAGCAAUCCACAAUACACUUAACACGAGAGGCGCACACAAGCAUGAAUGAAUCUUCCACCAUUAAACCUGAAAUCAUAAAAUGAAAGAAACAAGGUGAGUGUUGUUUUACGGUCUGAAAGCCGAUUCGAAAUAAUAAUAAUAAUAGACCUCUGUUAAUAGUUACUACUAGUGGUCACUGCCUUGUCCAUCUUCCUUCUCUGUAUCAUCGUCCUCUUCCAAGCCGCUGUCAUCUGACCAAACCCCAGCAACCAUGGGAAAAAUCACCUACUUGUUUUAGGAGCA